rnacentral:piRNA from 1 species
UGCAAAAGAGUAGGAUGGGCCUGGGG